GGUCGGUUAGCUCAGUUGGUUAGAGCGUGGUACUAAUAUAUCAUCUUGAUAUAUCAAGUGAUGCCAAGGCCGUGAGUUCAAGCCUCACACUGAUCA
rfam:Colletotrichum incanum strain MAFF 238704 contig886, whole genome shotgun sequence.